rnacentral:rRNA from 1 species
GAGUUUGAUCAUGGCUCAGAUUGAACGCUGGCGGCAUGCUUUACACAUGCAAGUCGAGCGGCAGCGCGGGGCAACCCUGGCGGCGAGCGGCGGACGGGUGAGUAAUGCAUCGGAACGUAUCCCGUAGUGGGGGACAACCCAGCGAAAGCUGGGCUAAUACCGCAUAUGCUCUACGGAGGAAAGCAGGGGACUCGCAAGAGCCUUGUGCUAUGGGAGCGGCCGAUGUCCGAUUAGCUAGUUGGUGGGGUAAAGGCUUACCAAGGCGACGAUCGGUAGCUGGUCUGAGAGGAUGAUCAGCCACACUGGGACUGAGACACGGCCCAGACUCCUACGGGAGGCAGCAGUGGGGAAUUUUGGACAAUGGGGCAACCCUGAUCCAGCCAUGCCGCGUGCGGGAAGAAGGCCUUCGGGUUGUAAACCGCUUUUGGUCGGGAAGAAAAGGUUCUCCCUAAUACGGGGGACUGUUGACGGUACCGGCAGAAUAAGCACCGGCUAACUACGUG